GGUGGCUCAGUGGUAGAGCAUUAGCCUUGCAUGCAUGAGGCCCUGGGUUCAAUUCCUCAGCACCA
rnacentral:tRNA from 1 species